rnacentral:rRNA from 1 species
GAUGAACGCUGACAGAAUGCUUAACACAUGCAAGUCUUUGGCGAAGCUGUGCUUGCACAGCCUAGCCAAGGCGGACGGGUGAGUAACGCGUAAGGAACUUGCCCUGCAGUCAGGGAUAACGGACGGAAACGACUGAUAAGACCUGGUAAAGUCAGGCGGACUCAUGUCCAGCCUGAUGAAAAGAGAUGCUGCAGGAGAGCCUUGCGUCCUAUUAGCUUGUUGGUGGGGUAACGGCCCACCAAGGCGAUGAUAGGUAGCCGGCCUGAGAGGGUGGACGGCCACAAGGGGACUGAGAUACGGCCCUUACUCCUACGGGAGGCAGCAGUGGGGAAUAUUGGACAAUGGGGGCAACCCUGAUCCAGCAAUUCUGUGUGCACGAUGAAGGUUUUCGGAUUGUAAAGUGCUUUCAGCAGGGAAGAAAAAAAUGACGGUACCUGCAGAAGAAGCGACGGCUAAAUACGUG